GGGCAAUGGAGGCAACUCUGACCCAGCCANGCCGCGUGCAGGAAGACGGUCUAUGGAUUGUAACUGCUUUUAUUUGUGAAUAAACUCCGGUACGUGUACCGGCCUGAAUGUAGCAAAUGAAUAAGCACCGGCUAACUCCGUGCCAGCAGCCGCGGUAAUACGGAGGGUGCAAGCGUUAUCCGGAAUCAUUGGGUUUAAAGGGUCCGCAGCGGAUGUAUAAGUCAGUGGUGAAAUCCUACAGCUUAACUGUAGAACUGCCAUUGAUACUGUACAUCUUGAAUUCGGUCGAAGUGGGCGGAAUAUGUCAUGUAGCGGUGAAAUGCUUAGAUAUGACAUAGAACACCGAUAGCGAAGGCAGCUCACUAGGCCUGGAUUGACGCUCAGGGACGAAAGCGUGGGUAGCGAACAGGAUUAGAUACCCUGGUAGUCCACGCCGUAAACUAUCAAUACUCGUUUUCGGCGAUAUACAGUCGGAGACUAAGCGAAAGUGAUAAGUAUUGCACCUGGGGAGUACGAUCGCA
rnacentral:rRNA from 1 species